rnacentral:rRNA from 1 species
UACGUAGGGUGCGAGCGUUGUCCGGAAUUAUUGGGCGUAAAGAGCUCGUAGGCGGUCUGUUGCGUCUGCUGUGAAAACCCGGGGCUUAACCCCUGGCUUGCAGUGGAUACGGACAGACUAGAGGUAGGUAGGGGAGAAUGGAAUUCCCGGUGUAGCGGUGAAAUGCGCAGAUAUCGGGAGGAACACCGGUGGCGAAGGCGGGCUACUGGGCCGAUACUGACGCUGAUGUGCGAAAGCCAGGGGAGCGAACGGG